ACAGGUUCUGACCCCUGGACCAGAGAACAGACACCCACCUUGACCCUGACAGGUUCUGACCCCUGGACCAGAGAACAGACAGGUUCUGACCCCUGGACCAGAGAACAGACAGGUUCUGACCCCUGGACCAGAGAACAGACAGGUUCUGACCCCUGGACCAGAGAACAGACAGCCCUACUGAUAGACAGUCCCACCCCCAGUGAAAGCAGCAUCUAUGUGGGGGAAGUUAUCAGAACCCUGGUCAGGAUAGUGAACGGUGGACCAGUCAAUCUUCAUCAUUUCAUUUGCAUCUCCAUAUAUCUUUUCUUCUCAUCAAUAUAGAUGAUUCAUAUGUUGAAAUGUAUAUCAAGAUAUUGUUUAUUUCACUUUUCUUUAAUCCUGGUUCCAUCUCAACACUCAGCACACCUGAUUCCAUCAAUCGUCCAAUCAUCAAGCCCUUUUGAUAAGUUGAUUGAGGUGUGUUAGGCUGGCACAAAACCCUGCACGCCCUGUGGGUUUCCAGGACUGGGAUUGAAGGACACUGAUGUGUUUGACAGAAUCAGAGACUGGGGAUGAAUUUUAAUUUAGUUUCUCAGAUUUCUAUGAAGUGCUUUUUUUUAACUGAGCGGCUGAUUGUUUUUUUGUAUUUAGUCUGUUUUUGGUUUUACUGUGUUGUUGUUAUUGACAUUAUUUAACAGAUCACGAGUUUGUAAAUAUUGAUAAAAGACUGAGAGGA